AUAGGGUGGGUGGAGAACCACUGCCCUGGUCUGAUGGAAAUACCUCUUCUCCAUAUUCCCAGGGCUUCUUCCACUCACCUGGAGCAUUAGCCUGUGGCCCUGCACAGCAGCAACUGAUUUCCAUAUCUGCCUCCCCCACUGAAUUAUAAGCACCUUCAUGCAGCGGCUGACUGACCAUUGAUUUAACUCUGUGUCCAUAACGCCUAGCAUGGGAGCUGCCAUACAUUGAUUCUAUACAAAAGACAUGGCUCCAGAAAGUAACUCCUGUACGCCUCCUUCAUCACACACCGAAUAAUAACAUUUCAUGGCAGAUAAAUUGGAAAAUUCCAAAAUUCCAAUAACAAUUGCCCAUAAUAUAACGUAACAUCCAGAGACAACUACUGUUCGAAUUCUAGAAAAUAUCCUUCUAUGCUUUUCUUCUCUGCCUGGGAUACAUAUCUACAAGG